rnacentral:rRNA from 1 species
AUACGGAGGAUCCAAGCGUUAUCCGGAUUUAUUAGGUUUAAAGGGUGCGCAGGCGGAAAUGUAAGUCACCGGUGAAAUCCUACAGCUUAACUGUAGAACUGCCGGUGAUACUGUAUUUCUUGAGUAUAGUUGAGGUAGGCGGAAUGUGUAGUGUAGCGGUGAAAUGCAUAGAUAUUACACAGAACACCGAUUGCGAAGGCAGCUUACUAAACUAUUACUGACGCUCAUGCACGAAGCGUGGGGAGCGAACAGGAUUAGAUACCCUUGUAGUCC